GAUGAACGCUAGCGGCAGGCUUAAUACAUGCAAGUCGUGGGGCAGCACAGGUAGCAAUACUGGGUGGCGACCGGCAAACGGGUGCGGAACACGUACGCAACCUUCCUUUAAGCGGGGGAUAGCCCAGGGAAACUUGGAUUAAUACCCCAUAAGACAAUGGUGUGGCAUCACACAGUUGUUAAGGCUCCGGCACUUAAAGAUGGGCGUGCGGCUGAUUAGGUAGUUGGCGGGGUAACGGCCCACCAAGCCGACGAUCAGUAACUGGUGUGAGAGCACGACCAGUCACACGGGCACUGAGACACGGGCCCGACUCCUACGGGAGGCAGCAGUAAGGAAUAUUGGUCAAUGGACGCAAGUCUGAACCAGCCAUGCCGCGUGGAGGAUGAAGGCCCUCUGGGUUGUAAACUUCUUUUAUUGGGGAAGAAAUCUGUUUUUUCUAAAGCAGUUGACGGUACCCGAUGAAUAAGCACCGGCUAACUCCGUGCCAGCAGCCGCGGUAAUACGGAGGGUGCAAGCGUUAUCCGGAUUCACUGGGUUUAAAGGGUGCGUAGGUGGGCAGGUAAGUCAGUGGGGAAAUCUCUGGGCUUAACCCAGAAACUGCCGUUGAUACUAUCU
rnacentral:rRNA from 1 species